rnacentral:tRNA from 1 species
GGUUGUGGUUCAGUGGUAAAGCGCUUGCCUCGCACACAAGAGACACUGCGUUCAAUCCUCAGUACCA